CGGAAGCCGGAAAGUUGGUCAAACUUGAUCAUUUAGAGGAAGUAAAAGUCGUAACAAGGUUUCCGUAGGUGAACCUGCGGAAGGAUCAUUACCGAUGCCAAUGCAAACAUGUGCAAACAUGUGCAAACAUGUGCAAACAUGUCGCUACCGUGUGAACCGUACCAAACCUUGAGGGGUCGGCAAGUCCGUCAAACGGCGGUCGUACGCGUCCUGCGGGGCGCGGACGCUCCGCCGGCCCCGCCAGUGUGUGUGUCGCUGUCAUGUCCUUGCCUGAUGUGGCGGGGCGGCCACUCCCUGAGUCGCCCCUGCGAGAGCAAAAGAACGAGAUACAACUUUUGACGGUGGAUCUCUUGGCUCACGCAUCGAUGAAGAACGCAGCCAGCUGCGAUAAGUAGUGUGAAUUGCAGAAUUCAGUGAAUCAUCGAAUCUUUGAACGCAAAUGGCGCUCUUGGGUUCUCCCAGGAGCAUGUCUGUCUGAGUGUCUGAUUCAGUCCACCGCACCCAGCGGUGCGGCGUUGAGGCGUCACCGCCCCCGGUAGCGGCACCGUGUCCCUCGAAGGGGAGAGAGAGACUCGCGCGGCCCGGGGUUUUCCCGGCGCACUCGCGUAGGCUGUAAAGGCUUCGGCCCUUCGCGUGCCGGCGCAGCCGCCGGGCCGCCGAGUGGAAGGAGGCAGAGGAGAGGGAUAGAGCUAGUGUCUUGACCUCAGAUCAG
rnacentral:sRNA from 1 species